GAUGAACGCUGGCGGCGUGCCUAAUACAUGCAAGUCGAGCGAACAGACGAGGAGCUUGCUCCUCUGACGUUAGCGGCGGACGGGUGAGUAACACGUGGAUAACCUACCUAUAAGACUGGGAUAACUUCGGGAAACCGGAGCUAAUACCGGAUAAUAUAUUGAACCGCAUGGUUCAAUAGUGAAAGACGGUUUUGCUGUCACUUAUAGAUGAAUCCGCGCCGCAUUAGCUAGUUGGUAAGGUAACGGCUUACCAAGGCAACGAUGCGUAGCCGACCUGAGAGGGUGAUCGGCCACACUGGAACUGAGACACGGUCCAGACUCCUAAGGGAGGCAGCAGUAGGAAAUCUUCCGCAAUGGGCGAAAGCCUGACGGAGCAACGCCGCGUGAGUGAUGAAGGUCUUCGGAUCGUAAAACUCUGUUAUUAGGGAAGAACAAAUGUGUAAGUAACUAUGCACGUCUUGACGGUACCUAAUCAGAAAGCCACGGCUAACUACGUG
rnacentral:rRNA from 1 species